rnacentral:rRNA from 1 species
AAUACCGCGUACGUCCUACGGGAGAAAGCAGGGGACCUUCGGGCCUUGCGCUAUCAGAUGAGCCUAGGUCGGAUUAGCUAGUUGGUGAGGUAAUGGCUCACCAAGGCGACGAUCCGUAACUGGUCUGAGAGGAUGAUCAGUCACACUGGAACUGAGACACGGUCCAGACUCCUACGGGAGGCAGCAGUGGGGAAUAUUGGACAAUGGGCGAAAGCCUGAUCCAGCCAAGGCGCGUGUGUGAAGAAGGUCUUCGGA